GGCCUCGUAGCUCAGUUGGUAGAGCAUGCGCGUACAAAGUGUAGGCGGUGUCCAUGCAUGGGUUCGAAUCCAACCCGAGACCA
rnacentral:tRNA from 1 species